rnacentral:rRNA from 1 species
UUAAGCAUAUCAAUAAGCGGAGGAAAAGAAACCAACAGGGAUUGCCCUAGUAACGGCGAGUGAAGCGGCAACAGCUCAAAUUUGAAAUCUGGCUCUUUCAGAGUCCGAGUUGUAAUUUGCAGAGGGCGCUUUGGCGUUGGCAGCGGUCCAAGUUCUUUGGAACAGGACGUCACAGAGGGUGAGAAUCCCGUACGUGGUCGCUAACCUUCGCCGUGUAAAGCCCCUUCGACGAGUCGAGUUGUUUGGGAAUGCAGCUCUAAAUGGGAGGUAAAUUUCUUCUAAAGCUAAAUACUGGCCAGAGACCGAUAGCGCACAAGUAGAGUGAUCGAAAGAUGAAAAGCACUUUGGAAAGAGAGUCAAAUAGCACGUGAAAUUGUUGAAAGGGAAGCGCUUGCAGCCAGACUUGCCUGUAGUUGCUUAUCCGGACUUUUGUCCGGUGCACUCUUCUGCAGGCAGGCCAGCAUCAGUUUGGGCGGUUGGAUAAAGGUCUCUAUCACGUACCUCCCUUCGGGGUUGGCCUUAUAGGGGAGACGUCAUGCAACCAGCCUGGACUGAGGUCCGCGCAUCUGCUAGGAUGCUGGCGUAAUGGCUGUAAGCGGCCCGUCUUGAAACACGGACCAAGGAGUCUAACAUCUAUGCGAGUGUUUGGGUGUCAAGCCCAGACGCGUAAUGAAAGUGAACGGAGGUGGGAACCUUUUAGGUGCACCAUCGACCGAUCCUGAUGUCUUCGGAUGGAUUUGAGUAAGAGCAUGGCUGUUGGGACCCGAAAGAUGGUGAACUAUGCUUGAAUAGGGUGAAGCCAGAGGAAACUCUGGUGGAGGCUCGCAGCGGUUCUGACGUGCAAAUCGAUCGUCAAAUUUGGGCAUAGGGGCGAAAGACUAAUCG